rnacentral:tRNA from 1 species
GGGAAUUUGGCUCAGUGGUAAGAGUGCUUGCUUCACAUGCAUGAGGCCCUGGGUUCAAUUCCUC